UAAGGAAUAUUGGUCAAUGGACGCAAGUCUGAACCAGCCAUGCCGCGUGAAGGAUGAAGGCCCUCUGGGUUGUAAACUUCUUUUAUCUGGGACGAAAAAAGGGAAUUCUUUCCCACUUGACGGUACCAGAGGAAUAAGCACCGGCUAACUCCGUGCCAGCAGCCGCGGUAAUACGGAGGGUGCAAGCGUUAUCCGGAUUCACUGGGUUUAAAGGGUGCGUAGGUGGGUCUGUAAGUCAGUGGUGAAAUCUCCAAGCUUAACUUGGAAACUGCCAUUGAUACUAUAGGUCUUGAAUAUCCUGGAGGUGAGCGGAAUAUGUCAUGUAGCGGUGAAAUGCUUAGAUAUGACAUAGAACACCCAUUGCGAAGGCAGCUCACUACGGGAUUAUUGACACUGAGGCACGAAAGCGUGGGGAUCAAACA
rnacentral:rRNA from 1 species